AUGUCGUUAACACGGACCUCAUCCACGGCCUCAUCCUCAGCCUCGAGUGGAACCGCUUCUCCUCCCAGCGAACAGAUUGGUGAAGAACAUAUCUUCAACAGCAACGACUUUGCUGGGUUGGAAAGCUGGGGAGAUCCCACCCCUAGACCAUCGCCCUUUACUCUGAAGGAGCUGGGUGAUGCCUGGGUUGCUGCUGCAAAGCGCCAGCUCAUUCACAGGCCCAAGUCGCCGACUCGUGUGGAGCGGCUAAGGCGCCUGCGAGAGCAUGAUCGGAAGAGUUUGAUGAUAGCAUUGGGCGUCUAUGCUGAACAAAAUAACAUACAACCUGCUGACCUUGAAGUGAUAGAAGUGAAAGAAAGAAAUCUAAUCGAUGAGGAGGGAAAGGGUUAUGUGCAUUUCAACUUUCUUGUGAAAAUGCAACAUAACCCAUCUAGUUUGUUCUUUGCGGAGGUGCAUCCGGACUGUAGAGAGGGGGAGGAUGUGUAUCUUUGCACUCCUCUCGAAGCUAAUGACUCGGGUGACUGUUAUGGGUGCAAGGACCGUGCAAAGGAGCUUCUGCAUCCCAAUAGCGGUGGCUACUUGGGUGGGCAUAUGGAUAUUGUUUUUCCCUUCAUUUAUCUUGGCAGGUGGAUUAAGUUAACUCCAGGAACUUGA
rnacentral:rRNA from 1 species